GACGACCGCUGGCGGCGUGCUUAACACAUGCAAGUCGAACGAAGUGGCGAACGGGUGAGUAACGCGUAAUCAACCUGCCCUUCAGAGGGGGACAACAGUUGGAAACGACUGCUAAUACCGCAUACUGAAGGAGGGGAUGGCGGAUGAUGCGCAAGUUGGUGGGGUAACGGCCCACCAAGGCGAUGAUCAGUAGCAGGUCUGAGGGGAGGAACGGCCACAUUGGGACUGGGACACGGCCCAGACUCCUACGGUAGGCAGCAGUGGGGAAUCUUCCGCAAUGGACGAAAGUCUGACGGAGCAACGCCGCGGGAGUGAUGACGGCCUUCGGGUUGUAAAGCUCUGUUAAUCGGGACGCGGUACCGGAAUAGAAAGCCACGGCUAACUACGUGCCAGCAGCCGCGGUAAUAC
rnacentral:rRNA from 1 species